rnacentral:misc_RNA from 1 species
GCAAUAAAAUAAUGGAUCAGCAGCUACUCCAUAUGCACACAUGCAUGAACAUGAACACAAAGCUUAUAAUAUUGCAGUGCCACCGUUAAGUACAUCCAUAAAUCAUGUAAUUUUGGAGUGCUUAAAGCCCAAAUAAUAUGCCAGGUUGAAGUUGCUAUAUUUCUCACAUAUUCUUGCAUGCUAAAGUAAGGAUAACAUUCAGGCGAAAUAAAACCACUGAGAUCAAACAAUAAAAUUCAAAUAGGCAUACCAAUAGUUAGGCAUUUCUUCCAUCCAAGCGAAAUAAAUAUUAUUUUUUAAUGAAAAAUUUUCUUUCAAUAAUUUUAUCCAA